UGGUCGACCUAGACAUUGUUGACCUAGACACUGUCGAUCUAAUGAUCCACACCCCUCCACUUUAUCUCUCUCAAAGGCUUAAUAUGUCUGCCCCCCACCUCCACCCAUCCCCCUCAGGGAAGGUCAGUGGGGCAGUUGGAUGACCCAGUCUGCUACCUGGUCCAACUGUUAUCUUGGAUCUUCAGAUCAACUUCCAGACGGACCAGACACACAUGCCAUAGGAGACGGCACUUAUUGGAGGCCCUCAGAGGACCUGCUCAGGGGAAGUCUGACCAUGGAAUACAGAUGUGACAUACAGAUGUGGGCAGAGCGCGGCAGUGACAUGAGGAUUAGAGGAGACAGGCCGAACACAUGAAUGAGUACAUCACAGAAGUGUCGCCUCCUUACUUCCAGAAACAACUCUUUAUUUGAAUAAACGUUUUCUGGUUUUCAACUGAA